CCUCCCUGGCACGCUGGACACCCUCCUCCUGCAUGGGGGAUGUGGCAGAGAAAACUUCCCAAAAUGAUGUUCCCAACACAUCCAGCCUCACUUCUUAUUUCCAUCAGGUUAUUCCUUAUAUCCAUCAGGAAAGGACUCUGGGCCUUUCCCUCCUUCCCCAGAUAAACCCUGAAAUCACAACCUGAAUAGUGCAGGUGGCUCAACACCAGGAUUGCAGCACUGGUGAUGGCAGAGCUGGGGAAAGCCCUGGGAAAUGUGAAUUUUCCAGAGUGGCAGAGCCCAUGGAGAGGGAUCCAAGAGCUGGGGAAGGAGCAGAGCCUGGAGAAAAUCACCUUGAGGGUGCGGUUGUGCCGCUGCAGCUCCCGGCACAGGCUCUCCAGCUUGCUCCGCGCCAGGAUGGCCUUGCUGUGCUCGCUCUGCAGGUGAUCCUUCUCCUGCACCAGCUGGCUCUGCUUCUUCUGCAGGAUCUUCAUCUGCUUCUGGGAGUUGCGGUGCUCCUCCAGCUGGGAGAGAGGAGCAGAGGGUGUGGACAGCAGCUCGCUGUACCCCAGGGACAGGAGCUCUGUCACACCUCACAACACAGCGGUGUGACACUUUCUCCUUCCUGAAUUCCCAUCUUGCUGCAAUGGGAGGGAGCUCUGUGUUCUCCCAGCACAGGGAAAAGCCACCCAGGGACACUUUGGACGUGCACAGGCAGCCCAAAAGCUGCUGCAGGUCCAGAUCCAUGCUUGGAACUCCACCUUGGCUCUGGUUAAAGGUGGGAUCAGGCUUUGUGUGCGUGAAAACAGACCUGACCUCCUCUUGCACCCAGAUUUGCCAAAAUUCCUUCUGUCCACACUUCACAAACACCACCAGGCUGGACCCAGCAACACCCACCCUCUCCUAAAGAUAUCCAGCACUGCAGAGAUCCCCCACAAAACUCCAGUGUGUCCCUGGAAUGUCCCUGUGAAAGGCCUGUCCUGCCUCCCUGAGCUGCCACAUCCUCCCCCAGCCCCAGGACUCACCAGCUCAGCGUAUUUCUUGCAGAGAGCUGCCAGCUUCUCCUCUGACGUGCUCAGGGUGUUCAGGGUCUGCAUCAGCAAAGUGAUUUCCUUGCCUGGAACAAGAUAUGGAAUGGGAAUAAUGCAAUAAAUAGGAUAAAAUGGCUUUGCACAGGAGCUCUGGCUUGGAAAGGCAAAAAAAUGAGGAACUGAGCAGGUAUCCAGUGCAUUCCCUGGAUUUCCCCAUGGUGGGAGAACAACUGGAGCAGCUGGAUUUUGGAGGGGAAAACCAUCCUUAGGUUGGCUGGAGCCAGCUGUGCCCAGCAGAGGAGAAACCCACGGAAUUCAGAGGCUGCACUGGGUGCAUCCCUCACCCCCACAGAACAGGAGGAUGGUCCCAAAUAUAUCCAAGGCUCUGAUUUCACCAAGGAUGAUUAGCGUGGGAUAAAAUCCAUCCAUCCAUGCACUGA